GUUCCUACGGGAGGCAGCAGUGAGGAAUAUUGGUCAAUGGGCGCGAGCCUGAACCAGCCAAGUCGCGUGAGGGAAGACGGUCCUAUGGAUUGUAAACCUCUUUUGUCGGGGAGCAAAAGACGCCACGUGUGGCGUUCCGAGAGUACCCGAAGAAAAAGCAUCGGCUAACUCCGUGCCAGCAGCCGCGGUAAUACGGAGGAUGCGAGCGUUAUCCGGAUUUAUUGGGUUUAAAGGGUGCGCAGGCGGAAGAUCAAGUCAGCGGUAAAAAUUCGGGGCUCAACCCCGUCCGGCCGUUGAAACUGGGG
rnacentral:rRNA from 1 species